rnacentral:tRNA from 1 species
GGUUCUGUAGUGUAGUGGUAAUCACUCUGGUUUUUGAAACGAAUCUUACCUCCUUAAGGCGGAUUUGAUUUGAAAAAUACCAGAAACCCCGGUUCGAACCCGGGCAGGACCU